rnacentral:lncRNA from 1 species
UCAGUUUGAACCUUCUUUUCUACUCUUCAAUGGCGGCUAAUCGGCUAUUAUCAGUUUGAACAUGCUUCUCAACCCUUCUAAUGGCGGCUAUGUGAUGAGUUUGAACAUUCUUCUCUAUUCGAUUGAGAGAGAGUGAGAGAGAGGAAGUGAAGUUGUGACAGAGAUUUAGGGAUUGAUGGGCUCGUCGACUCCACCAAUUUUACGCACCUGCACGACGAUCCCACCCGAUCCCAUGGAGGCGCAUCCAAGAUUGAGAUCGAGCACGGGUUGAAGGUUGAGAAUCGUAAGAUCGUGCGAUCUCACGAGUAAGCUCGUGAUUUUGACUACCUUGACAACAAGUAGUGGCAUACAAAGCCUAUGGUGAGAAAAAAACCUUGAUGGAGAAAUUGAAGGAAGAGCAGGAGAGAGGUAAAGAUAAUUGUGUAGAGAUAAAAGUCAAGCCAAAUGGGACUAUGCAUAGAAGCUAUUAAGAAAGUUGAAAAUAUCAUCAUCAUAAGCAACAAAGG